rnacentral:rRNA from 1 species
AUGACCCUAGGUUAAGUGGGAUUACCUAUAGAGUUUAAGCAUAUCAAUAAGUGGAGGAAAAGAAGCUUACCAGGAUUCAUCUAAUAAUGAUGAAAGAACUGGGACAAGCCUAACUUCAGAAUCGAGUGCCCCUAACAUCUAAAUUAUAGUUUGGACAAAUGUCUUCAGUGGCAAACUGAACCCAAUCCCUUGGAAAAGGGCAUCGAAGAAGGUGAGAGCCCUGCUAUGCCUGGACCUUGUUGUACCAUGAGGCACUAUUUGUGAGAUGAGUUGUUUAAGAAUGUAGCCUAAUGGAGUGGUAAAUUCCAUCCAAGGCUGAAUACGGGCAAGAGACCAAAAGCAAACAAGCACUACGAGGGAAAGAUGAAAAGGACUUUGAAAGAGAGUCAAAGAGUGCUUGAAAUUGUUAGGAGAGAAGUAGAUAGGGGCUAGCAAUGCACCUUGAUCAGAUGUGGAACAGUGAAAGCCAAUUCAUUGAUCAACUUAGGGCAUGGACCAACAUGGGUUAUAUUUGUAACACAAGCCCAAGCUUUUGAUAUGCCUACAAAGACAUUGUCACUAUAAUUGUGGAAUGCAAUAUGUGCCAUCUUGGCAUGCCUCGCACCUGCAUGUUUCCAUCGUUCGCCUGCGGGCUCCCCAUCCAGGCCACUUUGAAACAUGGACCAAAGAGUCUGACAUGUGUGCGAGUCAAUAGGCUAGUAAAUUCGUAAAGUGCAAAGAAGCUAAUUAGCAAGAUCCCUUAUGGGUGCACCAUUGAUCAACCUUGAUCUUCUAAGUAGGGUUCAAGUACGAGAAUGCUUGUUAGGACUCAAAAUAUGGUGAACUAUGCUUGAGCAGAGGGAACCCAAAAGAAACUUUAAGGGAAGCUUACAGUGAUACUAAUGUGCAAAUUAUUUGUUUGACUUGGGUAAGGUGCAAAAGACUAAUCAUCUAGCAACUGGUUCCCUCUAAAGUUUCUUUCAAGAUAGUCAGAGCCCUUAGUGAGUUCUAUCAGGUAAAGCCAAUGAUUAGAGGCAUUAGGGUGCAACACCCUCGACUUAUUCUCAAACAUUAAAUAGGUAGGAUGGUGCGGCUACUUCACUGAGCCACACCAUAAAAUUGAGAGCUUCAUGUAGGUAAUUUUUGGUACGUGGAACUGGCAAAGCAAGAUGAACUAGAAGCCAGGUUAUGGUGCCUAACUACCUGAUAACCUAGAACCCAUAAAGGGUGUUGGUCAAUUAAGAUAGAAAGAUAGUGCUCAUAGAAGUCAAAAUCCACUAAGGAGUAAUAACUUACCUACUGAAUCAUCUAGCCCAAAAAAUGGAUGGUGCUUAAGCACAUGGCCCAUACCCCACCAAUGGGGCAACGACUAGGCCCCGAUGAUUAUAAAGGCAUAGUUGUCAUUGCAAAACUUGAGGCACAAGGCCGAGCAAAAUGACCAUUGAUGCACAUCUUGAUGGUAGUAGCUAAUAUUCAAAUGAGAACUUUGAACACCGAAGAAAUGAAAGGUUGCAUGUGAACAACACUUACAGAUGGGUUAGCUAAUCCAAGGAGAUGGGUGAAACCCAUCUAAAAGUGCAUCCAACAUGAGCUUCAAAAGGGAAUUAGGUUAAAAUUCUUGAACUAAGAUACAACUACUGAUAGCAACAUUAGGGAGUCCAAAGACAUUGGUAAAGGCUUGGGGAAGAGUUAUUUUUUUUAUUUAAUGGCCUACCCACCCUAGAAAUGGCUCAACUGGAGGUAGGGUCUAAAGUCCAAAAAAGCACCUCACAUCACGUGGUGUCUGGUGUACCUCUGGUAGCGUUUGAAAAUCCAGAAGAUUGAGUGCCAUCUAUGCUCAAUUGUACUCAUAACCACAUUAGGUCUCCACGGUGAAUAGCCUCUGGUCGAUGGAGCAAUAUAGGUAAGAGAAAUUGGUAAAAUGGAUCUGUAACCUCAUGAAAAGGAUUAGCUCUAAGGUCUAGCCACAGGGGUCCUAGUGCCAAACCCAUCAACUAUAGGUGCACUACUCAAGCUACUUCUAUAAUGAGAGUAAGUCACCAUGUGUCAACUAUGGGAUGGAUUGGGAAUGGAUCCCUCAUGGGCUUUCUCGAGUGAUAAAUAGUUGACCCAAAACUAGUACAGAUAAGGGAAAUCUAACUAUUUAAUUAAAAUAAAGCAUUGUGAUGAUCCUUACAAGUGCUCAUACAAUGUGAUUUCUACCUAGUGCUCUAUAUGUCAAAGUGAAGAAAUUCAACCAAGCAUGAGUAAAUGGUGGGAGUAAUUAUGACUCUCUUAAUGUAGCUAAAUGCCUCAUCAUCUAAUUAGUGACACACAUGAAUGGAUUAAUGAGAUUUCCAAUAUCCCUCUUUAUUAUCCUACGAAACCAUAGCCAAAAAAAUGGGCUUGAUGGAAUCAACAAGGAAACAAGAUCAUAUUGAGCUUGACUCUUGUCUGACUUUUUGAAAUAACUUAAGGGGUGUAGGAUAAGUGGGAGCCCUCAGGUGAAAUUGAAAUAGCACUAUUUUUAACGUUAUUUUACUUAUUUUGUGAAUCAAAGGUGGGGGUACGACCCAUUCUUUGGACCCAACGCUGACCUUGGUUGAUCAAUUCAGGUAUACGACAUUAUUAGGUAAGAAGUUUGGCUAGGUCGACACAUCUGCUAAAAGAUAACACAAGUGUCCUAAGAUGAGCUCAACAAGAAUAAAAAUCUCAUAUAAAACAAUGGGUAAAAGCUUAUUUGAUUCUAUCUAGUAUGAAUAUGAACCAUAAAGGCAUGGCCUAUCAUUCCUUUAAACCUUUGGAAUUUCUAGCUAGAGGUGUCAAAAAAGUUAACAUAGGGAUAACUGGCUUGUGGUAGCCAAGUGUUCAUAGUGACGUUGCUUUUUUAUCCUUUAAUGUUAGCUUUUUUUAUCAUUAUGAAGCAGAAUUCACCAAAUGUUGGAUUGUUCACCCACCAAUAGGGAAUAUACGCUAGGUUUAGACUGUCAUGAGACGAGUUAGUUUUACCAUUCUGAUGAUAGCAUUGCAAUAAUAAUUCAAUCUAAUAUGAGAGGAAUCAUUGAUAUGCAUAAUUGGUCAUCGCACUUGGUUGUAAUGCCAAUAGCAUGAAGCUACCAUGUGCUAGAUUAUGACUGAAUGCCUCUAAGUUAGAAUCUGGGCUAAAAGUGAUGAAUGCACCCAUCGUUCGAUUGUACACCCAUAAUAUGGGCCCAUGGUCUUAAGGGCACGUGUCUUAGGUGUAGCCCCUGUGGUGAACAAACCACACUGGCCUCUUUGGAGCUUAAUUCCCACCAAGCAAUGGUAAAAUCCUUGACAUAUAACUUAAAUAUGUGAUGGGGUAUUUUAAGUGGUAAAGUGUCCUUGCUACCAUAAUCCACUAAGAUUCAACCUUUUGUCACUUUGAUUCAU